rnacentral:tRNA from 1 species
AGUCUUAUAUUCAAUGAUGAUUUUAGACUGCAAUUCUAAAGGUGUAGAAAUACUAAGACUU